rnacentral:rRNA from 1 species
UACGAAGGGGGCUAGCGUUGCUCGGAAUCACUGGGCGUAAAGCGCACGUAGGCGGCUUGUUAAGUCGGGGGUGAAAUCCUGGAGCUCAACUCCAGAACUGCCCUCGAUACUGAUGAGCUCGAGUCCGGGAGAGGUGAGUGGAACUGCGAGUGUAGAGGUGAAAUCGUAGAUAUUCGCAAGAACACCAGUGGCGAAGGCGGCUCACUGGCCCGGUACUGACGCUGAGGUGCGGAAAGCGUGGGGAGCAAACAGG